rnacentral:rRNA from 1 species
GAAAGGCGCUUUUGCGUCACUGAUGGAUGGACCCGCGGUGCAUUAGCUAGUUGGUGAGGUAACGGCUCACCAAGGCAACGAUGCAUAGCCGACCUGAGAGGGUGAUCGGCCACAUUGGGACUGAGACACGGCCCAAACUCCUACGGGAGGCAGCAGUAGGGAAUCUUCGGCAAUGGACGAAAGUCUGACCGAGCAACGCCGCGUGAGUGAAGAAGGUUUUCGGAUCGUAAAACUCUGUUGUUAGAGAAGAACAAGGAUGAGAGUAGAAUGUUCAUCCCUUGACGGUAUCUAACCAGAAAGCCACGGCUAACUACGUGCCAGCAGCCGCGGUAAUACGUAGGUGGCAAGCGUUGUCCGGAUUUAUUGGGCGUAAAGCGAGCGCAGGCGGUUUCUUAAGUCUGAUGUGAAAGCCCCCGGCUCAACCGGGGAGGGUCAUUGGAAACUGGGAAACUUGAGUGCAGAAGAGGAGAGUGGAAUUCCAUGUGUAGCGGUGAAAUGCGUAGAUAUAUGGAGGAACACCAGUGGCGAAGGCGGCUCUCUGGUCUGUAACUGACGCUGAGGCUCGAAAGCGUGGGGAGCAAACAGGAUUAGAUACCCUGGUAGUCCACGCCGUAAACGAUGAGUGCUAAGUGUUGGAGGGUUUCCGCCCUUCA